UCGGGGUUGGUGGUCCUGGGUUCUAUAAGAAAGCAGGCUGAGCAAGCCAUGGGGAGCAAGACAGUAAGCAGCUCCCCUCCAUGGCCUCUGCAUCAGCUCCUGCCUCCAAGUUCCUGUACUGAGUUCCUGUCCUGACUUCCUUCAGUGAUGGACUAUGAUGUGUCUCAAGAUGGCUGCUGCUCCUCCAGGCAUGGCAUCAGCAUUCAAAAGGAAGAAAGAAGAACCAAACCAGCAAGAAGGCUUGAGUGCAUCCAUUACUUUUUAUAACUUUUCCUGGAUGAGUCACACAGUGAGUGAUUCAUCUGUUGGCUUCAUCUAUUGGCUACAACAUGUCACAUGACUUCUAGCCACAAACGCAUCUGGUAAGACCCUGACUGAACAGAAUGCGCACAAAACAGGAGCCUGAGACUGGAUUUGGAAGAAUCGCAUUUUCACCUUGCCUUUGAGCUCUACAGAGGAAAUCUACCAGACUCCUGCAAGUAGCCUUGCAGGCUAUUGAGACAGUGAGCUAUAUAACGUGGAAAGAUACUCCUCACACUUCCCAUGGAUCUGAUGCCAUUGUGCUUGGUUCUGG
rnacentral:lncRNA from 1 species